rnacentral:lncRNA from 11 species
GGUAUAAAUAAAGUUUUAUUAUUAUUAUUAUUGAGCUAAAGCUCUCAUUAUUUCUAGCGAGAAUGCCCUUUGAUAAGGACUGUAACCCCAAUGCAUGUGGAAGGUGCCAGGUUCAAGAAAGUUCUGCGGAGUCUCCAGAUGCCUCGCUGGUCCUGAUUUACAAGGCUGUUUGUUUAAGGCAGAGCUCAGGCAGCCCCUCCUAAUGGAGGCAAGAACAUCUGCAGCCCCAUCAAUCUCACACAAACCUCUCCUCCACCCAAAGAUCUGGGCAGAAUUCUCUUGCCUUGGUGUCUCGCUACCAGGCCAGUUUAUGGAACCUGUUCCUUCGCAGGCUGACACCGUUUCUUGUCCCUUCCCCCAGCCCUCCCCUCCCCUUGCUGCCUCACCUUGUAGCCCCCAACCUCAGGAGUUAGUCAGGAAUGGACACACUGGCUCCUAACAACCCCUGAUGGAUGGCGCAAUGGGAGUGAUAUUGAUCAAGCCUCAUUAGAAAAGCUUUUUCAUCACCAGGCAAAGUGUUUCUCUGCUCCCCUGACAAAUAGGGGUGUCACAGGGCACUGACGACAUCAUAUAUCCUCUCUUCUUCUUUUUCUCACAGCCACCCCCUCCCGCCUUCAACACCGUGCUCAGAGAAGAAAACAACUCAGGGGUGGGGGUGGGGGAGGCAGCACACAAACGCAGGGUCAGGAGCAUCCAGGUUGAGAAGGGAAGACAAGUGCUGGGGAGAGAGAAAAUGAUAGUGAGAUUGGGAAUUCUUGCUAGAUAGAGAAGAGCAGCUACAGAUUUGGUUUUGGCAGAAGAGGAGAUGAGGAUAUAUGAUGCCCUCAGUGCCCCGUGACAUCCCUAUUUCUCAGGACAGAGAAGCAAGGAUGUGAUUUUCCCAGGACUCACUUGGGAAAGAUGUACGGAUGAAGUCAAUGGACUUUGGUGAAGUAUCUACUGAUGGCUGUUCAGAGAUGUAACUCCUUGCUAGAUCUUGAGAAAAAUAGAAUGGAAUUAAAAAUAUUUCUCAUAUUAAUCUCCUCCUCAACCAUUAUACGUAUGCUCCUGGAGAGAAAACUGCUCUGAGAAGGCCUCUUGACCUUGCUGGAAUAAUUGGAUGUCAUAAUUGGCUUUUAGAUGACUUAGGGACAGUACCCAUAAUGAAACACCUUUUACAUUGAACCUGCCUAUAUCCCAAGACCAUGGGAGCC